rnacentral:rRNA from 1 species
AGCAAAUAGAUACCCCGGUAGUCCACGCUGUAAACGAUGGGUGCUAGCUGUCGGGAUCCUAGAUCUCGGUGGCGCAGCUAACGCGUUAAGCACCCCGCCUGGGGAGUACGGUCGCAAGAUUAAACUCAAAGAAAUUGACGGGGACCCGCACAAGCGGUGGAACAUGUGGUUUAAAUUCGAGGCAACGCGAAGAACCUUACCAGGCCUUGACAUGCCCUCUAUAGAAUGCAGAAACGUAUUCUUUCACCUCGGGUGGGAGGAGCACAGGUGCUGCAUGGCUGUCGUCAGCUCGUGUCGUGAGAUGUUGGGUUAAAGUCCCGCAACGAGCGCAACCCUCAUUCUCUGUUGCUAACAGGUUAGGCUGAGAACUCUGGGAAAACUGCCGGUGAUAAGCCGGAGGAAGGUGGGGAUGACGUCAAGUCCUCAUGGCCCUUACGGCCUGGGCUACACACGUGUUACAAUGGCGG